rnacentral:rRNA from 1 species
GCGGUGCAUUAGUUAGUUGGUGAGGUAAAGGCUCACCAAGACCGUGAUGCAUAGCCGACCUGAGAGGGUAAUCGGCCACACUGGGACUGAGACACGGCCCAGACUCCUACGGGAGGCAGCAGUAGGGAAUCUUCCACAAUGGACGAAAGUCUGAUGGAGCAACGCCGCGUGAGUGAAGAAGGUUUCGGAUCGUAAACUCUGUUGUUGGAGAAGAAUGUAUCUGAUAGUAACUGAUCAGGUAGUGACGGUAUCCAACCAGAAAGCCACGGCUAACUACGUG